rnacentral:rRNA from 1 species
UACAGAGGUCUCAACCGUUGUUCGGAAUCACUGGGCAUAAAGAGCACGUAGGCGGCAGGGUAUGUCGGGUGUGAAAUCCCUCGGCCUAACCGAGGAAUUGCGCCCGAAACUACCUUGCUUGAGGAUGGAAGGGGAGCGUGGAAUUCCUGGUGGAGCGGUGAAAUGCGUUGAUAUCAGGAGGAACACCGGCGGCGAAGGCGACGCUCUGGUCCAUUACUGACGCUGAGGUGCGAAAGCCAGGGGAGCAAACGGG